rnacentral:tRNA from 1 species
AAUAUGGCUGAGGUAAAUAGGCGGUAGAUUGUAAAUCUACUUACAGUUAAUAACUUUUUAUCAG